GAUGAACGCUGGCGGCGUGCCUAAUACAUGCAAGUCGAGCGAACGGACGAGAAGCUUGCUUCUCUGAUGUUAGCGGCGGACGGGUGAGUAACACGUGGAUAACCUACCUAUAAGACUGGGAUAACUUCGGGAAACCGGAGCUAAUACCGGAUAAUAUUUUGAACCGCAUGGUUCAAAAGUGAAAGACGGUCUUGCUGUCACUUAUAGAUGGAUCCGCGCUGCAUUAGCUAGUUGGUAAGGUAACGGCUUACCAAGGCAACGAUGCAUAGCCGACCUGAGAGGGGGAUCGGCCACCCUGGAACGUAGACACGGUCCAGACUCCUACGGGAGGCAGCAGUAGGGAAUCUUCCGCAGUGGGCGAAAGCCUGACGGAGCAACGCCGCGCGAGUGAUGAAGGUCUUCGGUUCGUAAAACUCUGUUAUUAGGGAAGAACAUAUGUGUAAGUAACUGUGCACAGCUUGACGGUACCUAAUCAGAAAGCCACGGCUAACUACGUG
rnacentral:rRNA from 1 species